ACUGCCCCAGAGGCAUUGCAUGUGGCCUGCUGUGUCCCAUGUGCAUCAGGAGGUGGCAGAGAGGAGAGACACUGUGUCUACACUCAGUGUUCUGACCUAUGAACAUUUGGGUGAUUCCUGGUCUAACAUU